rnacentral:rRNA from 1 species
AUGCAGAGGUGGCAAGCGUUGCUCGGAUUUAUUGGGUGUAAAGGGCAGGUAGGCGGUCGCAUAAGUCUGUUGUGAAAUCCCAGGGCUCAACCCUGGAACUGCGAUAGAUACUGUGCGACUUGAGUGUUAGAGAGGUGAGGGGAAUUCCUGGUGUAAGGGUGAAAUCUGUAGAGAUCAGGAGGAGCACCGAUGGCGAAGGCACCUCACUGGCUGACAACUGACGCUGAACUGCGAAAGCUAGGGGAGCAAACAGGAUUAGAUACCCCAGUAGUCC